AAGUUGUACCAAACUUCGGGAGGUGUGCGAGCGCCCGGGAGGCAGUCGGCCGCGCUGACAGCCGGCCCUGCCUCCUCCCACACCCCGCCAGCGGCGCCCCCUCCCCACCCUCCGGUGCCCCUCGCCGGGGCCCGCCCGCCCCCGCCGCCCGGGGAGCCCCGCGGGGCGCGGAGAGCUGAGCGCCAGCCGGGGAGCAGCCGCCGGCAGCAAGAAAGUUAAAACGGUGGUGGUCGCGCACCUACCCGCUGUCUGUAAUGUCUCCUCCGGGCGCGGGGUGCUAAGACGAGGUGAAAUCCCUUUGCUGGUCAUGAGGCGGCUUCAGAGACAAACAACACAAUGCGAGUGCAAAUAACAAAAGGGAAAACAAAAAAAAAGAAAACAACACAGGAGAGGGAGACCGGGAACAAUGGGGGAGGAGAGGCUCGCCGCGCCGCGCCUGGCCGCCGCCGGCACCCCGGCAGGCAAGAGGAGGAGGAGGCGGAGGAGGAAGGCGAGGUGGCGGUAGCGGGGAGGGGGCUGCGCGGGGAGAUCCCCUACGCGCCGAGGCUGCCUCACACCGGCCCCGACCUCCCCCCUGCCGGCUGCUGCCUCCCGCCCCGCCGCGCACCGGGGCGGCCCUGCGCGGCGGCGGGGCGGCCAACGGUAAGUGACGCGCCCGCGGAGCCCGCUGACGGCCAUCGCCGCCACCACCACCAUCAUCAUCAUCAUCAUCACCACUGUCCUCCGGUGAGGGAGGAGGGGGCGGCUUUCCGCCGGUUCAAAGCGGUGGGGGGCACCGAGCCCUUCCCGCCUUUCGCCUCCCCUCACCCCGAGAACUUCACCGAGUGGGGCUGUCGCGGGUCCCGGGGACGUCGCUACUGGGUCCCUUCCCGAGGAGGAGUUCCCCCCUCCCGCUCCCUGCUAAGAGUAAACACCCGGGAGUUGCGUGUCCGUGGGCGUGUGCGUGUCCGCUGGCACCUCCUGCACCGGCAGCCCCUGUCACACCGGUGCGACCGCACGCACGGGCACCCGCCGCUGCCCCUUCAGCAUCCCCUCGCCUCAGCUCUUCCUCUUAAUUUUCGGGGACCCCGGCCGGCCGUAGGUCCCAAGCGUGUGCAGGAACCCGAGGGGGAAGCAGAAGUUUAAGGUCCCCCCGCGGCCCCCCCCCUCCGCGCUUUCCCCAGGGGCCGACACCGCCCCCCGCUCCUCAAAAAGCCAGGGCAGGUUGGAAGUUCACCCCCUCAUGCCCGCGCCGCGAGUAGGAUCGCGCGAGUGGGGCGCGCAGCGGCGGGGUUACCUCAGUGGCAGGCGGCCUGCGGGGCUCCUCGCCCGCCCGGGGUGGCGACCGCGGGGGCGGGAGGGCUGCGGGUCUCCGCCCGGCGGCCUGAAACCCGUCCCCGGGGCGGAGGGGCCGGGGGAGCCCCCGCCGUGUCACCGCUCCCCCAGGCAGGCGGGGAGCGAGCGUUGCGCCUGGCUCCGCAGCCCGCCUCUGCCCCGGACCCCCGUUACCUCCUCCUCCUCUCCGCGGGCACCCCCCCCGCCGCUCCUCGGGCGAGCGCUGCCGUGUCCCGGGCUGGCCCCGCGGCCCUGACACCGGCAGCCCACGGGGGCCCGCGGACACCCGGCCGGCCGCUCCCGGGGUUUCGCGUGUGGGUGGGGGUAUAUGCGUGGGUGUGUAUGUAUGGGGGGCGGGAGGGGUGUUUUCCUCUAAGCAGCCGUGUGUUCUGUCUGUACUUAAACCAGCUGUUUGGGAGCAAGUCCGUGUGCCGGCGGGGUGCGACGCGCCCCGGUGCGUGCCCGCGGUGCCCGGGCGCGGGGAAACGCGGGGAAGGAGCAGGGCGACCGGCGGCCGCGGCCCGGGGGUGGUGGCGUUGCUAAUAAAGUCACGUUAUGUGAAUAAGAG